GGCGGCUGCGCAGUGUCGGCACAUCCGGGCACUGGGGCAGGAUGAGCGCUCCUUUCCAAGAUGGCGGCGGAGGGAGGUGGGAAGGAGAUGAACGAGAUUAAGACCCAGUUCACCACCCGGGAGGGGCUGUACAAGCUGCUGAGCCAUUCGGAGUACAGCCGGCCUAACCGCGUGCCCUUCAACUCGCAGGGCUCCAACCCCGUCCGCGUCUCCUUCGUCAACGUCAACGACCAGAGCGGCAACGGGGACCGGCUCUGCUUCAAUGUGGGCCGGGAGCUCUACUUCUACAUCUACAAGGGGGUCCGCAAGGCUGCGGACUUGAGUAAACCAAUAGACAAAAGGAUAUACAAAGGAACACAGCCUACAUGCCAUGACUUCAAUCACUUAACAGCCACAGCAGAAAGUGUGUCUCUUCUAGUGGGCUUCUCUGCAGGCCAGGUCCAACUUAUAGACCCUAUUAAAAAAGAAACUAGCAAAUUAUUUAAUGAGGAAAGACUAAUAGACAAGUCCCGAGUAACCUGUGUAAAAUGGGUACCAGGUUCGGAAAGCCUUUUCCUAGUAGCUCAUUCCAGUGGCAAUAUGUACUUGUAUAACGUGGAGCACACUUGUGGUACCACAGCCCCGCACUACCAGCUACUUAAACAAGGAGAGAGUUUUGCAGUGCACACUUGCAAGAGUAAAUCCACAAGAAACCCUCUGCUUAAAUGGACAGUAGGUGAGGGUGCCCUGAAUGAAUUUGCCUUUUCCCCUGAUGGAAAGUUCUUGGCAUGUGUGAGCCAGGAUGGUUUUCUUCGCGUGUUUAACUUUGAUUCAGUGGAAUUGCAUGGUACAAUGAAAAGCUACUUUGGAGGACUGCUGUGUGUGUGUUGGAGUCCCGAUGGGAAAUACAUAGUGACAGGCGGAGAGGAUGACUUGGUGACAGUUUGGUCUUUCGUGGACUGUCGAGUUAUAGCGAGAGGCCACGGCCAUAAAUCGUGGGUCAGUGUCGUUGCGUUUGAUCCAUAUACCACUAGUGUAGAAGAGAGUGACCCGAUGGAAUUUAGCGGAAGUGAUGAGGAUUUCCAAGACCUUCAUUUUGGCAGAGAUCGAGCAAAUAGCACGCAAUCUAGACUAUCCAAAAGGAACUCUACAGACAGUCGUCCAGUAAGUGUUACGUAUAGAUUUGGUUCAGUAGGCCAGGACACACAGCUCUGUUUGUGGGAUCUUACAGAAGAUAUCCUCUUCCCCCACCAACCUCUCUCAAGAGCAAGGACACAUACAAAUGUCAUGAAUGCCACAAGUCCACCUGCAGGAAGUGGUGGAACUAACCCAGGAAGUAAUGGAAACAGUAUCACAACACCUGGAAACUCUGUACCCCCUCCUCUUCCACGGUCAAACAGCCUUCCACACUCUGCAGUCUCAAAUGCUGGCAGUAAAAGCAGUGUCAUGGAUGGUGCCAUUGCUUCUGGCGUUAGUAAGUUUGCAACCUUAUCGCUACACGAUCGGAAGGAAAGACACCAUGAAAAAGAUCACAAGAGAAACCAUAGCAUGGGACAUAUAUCUAGCAAGAGCAGUGACAAACUGAACCUAGUUACUAAAACCAAAACGGACCCAGCUAAAACUUUGGGAACACCUCUCUGUCCCCGAAUGGAAGAUGUUCCCUUGUUAGAGCCUCUUAUCUGUAAAAAGAUAGCACAUGAAAGACUGACUGUGUUAAUUUUUCUUGAAGACUGUAUAGUCACUGCUUGUCAGGAGGGAUUUAUUUGCACAUGGGCAAGGCCUGGUAAAGUGGUAAGUUUUAAUCCUUAAUGCUGCAUCAAAGAACUAGAACUCUGAAUAGAUAGUUUUCUUGAAAUAUAAUGAAUGUUGAAUAUAAAAUUUCUUUAUGCUUAAUGUAAAAAAAAAAUUAUCCUCAGAGCCAUACUUUUGGAUACUGCAUGCCAUAUUUCUGAAUGAUUUGAAGUGUCUUGGAUACAAUUAUUAAAUAUAGUUGCCUUCCAGCAGAAGAAAUAAAUACUGUGCAUCUAAACUAUUGAUCAGUGUUCUUAUACUUAAGCAUAACCACAAUAUGGUGAAAGCUAUUUAUGUAAAAAUCAAAGUAAAACCUGUCAAACACUAAAAUAMUUAUAAUCCUUCUAAUGUUUUCUACAAAAUAAGCACUCCCAAUGAGAGUAGCUUAUGAAAAGUUGCUGCUUUUAAGUCUAAUGAGAAACGUGAGCCUCUGAAAAAAUUAAGACCAAAGUGUUUUAUUCCUCCAUAUUUUUCUGUGGUGGCCUACCAUUAAUGUGAAACCACUUCUUAUUAGAACUUCAGCCAUUUUAUGCACAGAUUUGUGAGCCCUGUACUGACUGUCGUUUAAUGCUCUUGAAUUGUAAAUCAGUAUUAUCAAGGAACUCUAAUUUUAGCCAGGUUUUGAUUUUUGUGUUUAAGUUAGGGAAAAUCCUGCAAGCUUUUUCUCAGUAGUUUCAGUGUUCUGUUCCUGUCAGGUUUGUUAGGCAGUUCAACCACUACAAGCUCGUGCUUUUGAUGGCACCUGUUCCAUCAGCUGAACAUAMAUUAGUCUAUUACUAGUUUUAACUCUUCUUGUUAAUGCACUUGAACACCUAUAAAAUUUUAUUUUCCUUCUGUCCAAUGUAUAGAGAGCUUCAGUCAAAAUUUAGCUAAAUGUGGUGAUUCUUACAUUAAAAAGUGCUGUGUGCUACAGUAGCUCUGCCUGCCAGCAACAGUUCAGAGGACUACAGCUAUGAAAACAUUACCAGAGUUGAUUCUCCAAAAGGGACCAUUGUUUUUGUGAAAAAUUCUGAAAGGGGAUGUAGAUUAUCACCUGAAGUAAAAGAAAUGAUCUGGUAAAUACAUGAAUAUUGCCAUGUUGAGCAACUUAAAUGAAAAYCUGUUGUUCAUUAGGUUUUAACCAUUUGGUUCAUAAAUCUGACUUUUGAAGUGGAGGUACUGUAUAUAUUUAGAURCUACAUCUUCAUUGCUAUAAACUUGCAAGUAAAACUCAAUUUUUCUUAAAACUGUAUCAUGUAGGUUUCUUUAAGAUGUUAUCAAAUUUGUCGCAUCCUAGGUAUGCAUGGAGACCUGUGUCUGCUCUGCAUCUUAAUGCAUACGUAAAGGUUGAAUCUAAAACUUAAAAUUGAAAAUCCCUUUAUGGGAAAAGGGAGGAGGGUGUUACCUAAAAGUAUUUUUUUGCCUGAGAACUACAAAUCCAGCAUUAACUGAAAAAARCAAGCACUCCCUCGAAAUACUAAAUUAUUUAAAAUGUUUGCUCAAAAUGAAAGUACUAAAGCAGUUAUACUUUUGUGACUCAGUGCACUUCACAUCGCACUAAUUACAGCAGUGCCUCAUAUUGCUAUUGUGAGCUACAUUUUCUAUUUGUUCUAAACUCCUUUGCAAACUAUUGAACACUACGCUGUCACAUUUACUUUCAGUGGCUGAGGUGGGUUUUGUUAGACUGAGUUGAACAUAAAUUUUUUUUGUGUAUUGACUUUGAUUUGGAAUAUGACAUUUCAAAUAUUUCAGAGAUAAAGUAUGCAGUACCAAAAAUCAGGAUUUAUGUAUUGGCCAAUAUGGAAAACUUUAACUACAGGUAAGUAAUUUUCAUGCUGAAGUUAACACUUUCAAAAUUAAUAUAUUGCACACUGAUGUAAAUGCCAUAUUCUUUAGGAUGUAUUUACUUAGAAAUUUUCAAAUCAAUUUGUUUUUCUGAUUUCACAUGCAUUUCUAGUGAGCUCACUCUGCUGGUAAAAACUAAAUUUUGGUGGCAUGUUUACAGGGCUUUGAUAGGAAAAUAUUUGUGCCAGAAGGACGUUAUGAGCAUUCUUUUUGUUUAUAGGAAAGCACUUAAUUUUAUUUAAUGAGAAUUGUCAAAGUAUAAAACACUCAUGGUGAUGUCUUUCUUACUGGGUUAUAUACCAUCAUUUCUGUUCCACCAACUCUUUUAUCCUAGGGUGUCCCAUUACUCUGGGGUUUAAAGUUGCUAUUUCUAGUCUUCCUUUGAAAUGUGGCUCCCCAAGUGAUCUUAAAGCUCUGUCACUUUUUUUGUCUGCCAACUCUAUAUGAAAGCCUCUGAAUCUUGCUGCUGCUUCCAUCAUUUCCUCAAAAGGCUUUCAUUAAAUUGAUGCCACUGCCAGCCUAAAGAAAGAUUCAGAUGGAAAAGCGAAGGAGGCUUGCAGUGUCUAAUGUAAUUUCCAUUGAGCCAGUGCUACCUUUCCCUCUCAUGUCCAACAGCCAUCAAAAGAUGUGCUGGAUAAUUGGACAGUGUAUGACAAGUUCUGUUUAUUUUUCUAGUUGGGCUGGUGCUGCCCUGAGUGGAAAAUAAAUCCAGAAGUGUCUCUUCUGCCAUGAUCCUUGUGAUAGUUGAUAGUCYGCACAGCACUGACAGUGUCCUGACUGUUUAUAAACUUUCCACAUUACUGCUUCAGUUUGUACAAAAUCAUACCUUGAGCUUCCUCACGGGAUGUACCGUUCUUGCAUUGCACUUCCAGAACUGCUCUGCCAACUCCCAGUCAGCGAGGGGAAGUGAAUGGCAAAAUUCAAUUAGAAACAWGUUGGAUGAGCCUCAGGGUUCAUUAGUUUCAAUUUUUUACUCUCAUUUUUUUUUGUUAGCCUGUUUCUGUGAGAGAAGGUUCAGGGCAGUGAGAAAAAUAGGUUGCCUUAACGAGAGUAUGAACUUUUCUUCUCAACAUGGUGACAAUUAACUGUCAUCUGUAACCCCUGUCUUUCCCAAGCCCUGGUGAGAAACCUAAAUGGGAUUAUAGAACUGUUAGAUUAAUCUGGAAACAUAGAAAAAGAAAUUGAAAGGAGCAAAAGUAAACUUUACUGCGCUGUCUUUAUAGCUACAUCAAACAGAAUUACAGGAUCUGCAGAAGCAAUUAAAAAAAAAAACCAACAAAACCAACCCACACGUCCCCCAAGAACCCASAGUGGUACUUGGAUAUGUAAAGUACGUUUUCUCUGAACUCAGUGGUCAGAACAACUACUUACGUGAUUUCUGUGUUGAACUUUAGAACUGACUAUUCACUGUCUUGGACAGUGACUCCAUUUUAUGUGAAUGAAAGUUGCUGAUGAGUUCCCUGUGUAAGAAAGCUCAAGGUAAGAUUGGCCAGAAGUUCCCCCAGGUGAAAUGGCAGUGUAUAACCUAGCAAGAGAAAUAUCCCACCACUUUGUAAAACAAAUGCACAUGGAAUUUAUUUAUUUGACUUAUUGUACAGGAAAACUUAGACUUAAAUUAUAACAUCCUUGAAUUUUCUAGUUAACUACAAUUGUAGUACAGUAUCAUGUUUUAGUAUGACUUCUGUUUUAGUGAAAGUACUUAAACAUUCAUGUACUAUAUUUGAGUGAGACAAGCAGCUAUACAUACUAAUUCUUCCUCAGUGGAAAGGAGCAUUUCAUCAUUACAAUUGAAGUUCAAUUGCUGGUAUUUAAGUACUAUCAAAUAGAUUUCUUUCAACGUGAUACGGUAUCUGUAUAAACUUCAGGGAUGAUUAUAGUUAAACUGAAACACAGCUAUACAACUUCAGGUUACCAUGCUAAAAUUUGAAGCUUUCUGUAAUGUGCACAGUAGCAAAGUUGCACAUGGCAUACCCGCAUUAUCAGGGUGAAUUAAACCUAGAGUACACUGGUGUGAUAUUUAUAGCAAGGUAUGUGUGUGUGCGUGUGUGAGGAGGUGUGACAAGUGGCUCCAGUAAUGCCAGGAGAGCUCAUAACCCUGUAAAGGCUUUAUGAUGAGGAUGUCUGGAUUAGGAAAUAACAUGACUUUUACUAAACACUUUCUAGAAAAUCCAUGUUCUGAAUUAUCACCUCUAAAAAUUUGAGUAUGUACUUGGAAUGACUGUAUAUGUCUGCCCCUUUAACAACAUAAAACUACUAAAUUAAUAUUUAAAAUGCUGGCCUCCUUAUGUUACAAUAAUAAAAUUUGUGUCAGUUAAUUUACUGUCAAUUUACAUGUAAAGAUUAAACUAUUUUUUCUGCAUUUUAUGAUUCUGUAUACUGGAGUUUGUUAAAGAUUGACAUGUUAGGUGAUACUGUACAAAAUUGUAUUGACUACCUUUAGUGAAAAUCAAAAGUAAAAUUCAUAUGUAUUUCCUUUUUACACUUCCAUCUAAUUUCUUGACAACUUGAAUAAAUUUCAUAGAGCCUUUCUAACAUGACCUAUUGUUAAUUUAACUGUUGCAAUAAUUAAGCUUUAAGAAGUAUUGUUGGUAUAUUUAUAAUUUUAAGAAGAUCAUGUUUGUUUCAUAAUGCUUAUUUUUAGCUGUUCUAUUGUCACUGUUACAGCUGAAGAACUUUACUAAAUACUUGACAUUACAAAAUAACUUGCUGGGGUUGUCCUCUGUAUACUGAUGUUAAAUAAAAAUGUGUGAUUGAACUGUAAAUGUAGAUAACUUUCAAUAGUCCUUUCCACAUUUGAGUUUUAAUUUAUCUUGCAGUGCUUAGGUGGUCUUACGCUCUCACACUGUACUGAACAAAUGGCCACAAUGAAACUGUUAUCGUGCCAUGCUUUAAAGGUUUAUUGUCAUCCCAAAACCAGGCCAAUUCUCCAAGUGGAACUGU